GACAGAUGGUGCAAGCGUUAUUCGGAAUUACUGGGCGUAAAGCGUGCGCAGGCGGUUUUGUAAGUCUGACGUGAAAGCCCCGGGCUCAACCUGGGAAUUGCGAUGGAGACUGCAAGGCUUGAAUCUGGCAGAGGGGGGUAGAAUUCCACGUGUAGCAGUGAAAUGCGUAGAGAUGUGGAGGAACACCGAUGGCGAAGGCAGCCCCCUGGGUCAAGAUUGACGCUCAUGCACGAAAGCGUGGGGAGCAAACAGG
rnacentral:rRNA from 1 species